AACGAACGUUAGCGGCGCGCUUAACACAUGCAAGUCGAGCGAGAAAGGGGCAACCCCGGUAAAGCGGCGCACGGGUGAGUAACACGUAGGUAAUCUACCUCCAGGUGGUGGAUAACCUUCCGAAAGGAAGGCUAAUACAGCAUGGGACCACGACCUCGCAAGGGGUUGAGGUGAAAGUCGGCCUCUUCACGAAAGCCGACGCCAGGGGAUGAGCCUGCGGCCCAUCAGCUAGUUGGUAGGGUAAUGGCCUACCAAGGCGAAGACGGGUAGCUGGUCUGAGAGGAUGAUCAGCCACACUGGAACUGAGACACGGUCCAGACUCCUACGGGAGGCAGCAGUGGGGAAUCUUGCGCAAUGGGCGAAAGCCUGACGCAGCGACGCCGCGUGAGUGAUGAAGGCCCUCGGGUUGUAAAGCUCUGUGGAGGGGGACGAAUAAGCAUUGGUUAAUAUCCAGUGUGAUGACGGUACCCUUUUAGCAAGCACCGGCUAACUCUGUGCCAGCAGCCGCCGUAAAA
rnacentral:rRNA from 1 species